UGCAUACUCCCUCCAUUCGAAAUUACUCGUCCAAGAAAUGAAUGUAUCUAGAUGUAUUUUAGUUGUAGAUACAUCCAUUUUUGUGACAAGUAAUUCCGAACAGAGGGAGUACUAC
rnacentral:pre_miRNA from 1 species